GAUGAACGCUGGCGGCGUGCUUAACACAUGCAAGUCGAACGGAAAGGCCCGGCUCUUGCGGGGUGCUCGAUUGGCGAACGGGUGUGUAACACGCGUGUAACCUGCCCCUGACUUUGUGAUAACUUCACGGAACUCGGGCUAAUACCGGAUAGGAUCUACUGCUGCAUGGUGGGGGUUGGUAAGUUAGGGCUGUUGGGGAUAGACUCGCUGGUUAUCAGCUUGUUGGUGGGGUAGUGGCUUACCAAGGUUUUGACGGGUAGCCGGCAUGGGAGGGUAGCCAGCCACAAUGCGACUGAGGUACGGCGCAGUAUCGUACCGGAGGCAGCAGUGGGGAGUAUUAUGCAGCGGGCGCGAGCGAGAUACGAAGGCGCCGGGUGCGUAAUAACGUCUUACGGGGUGUAAACCGAUUUCGACUUCGACGAAGCCUGAGUGACGGUAAUGGGUAAAGAAGCCCCGGCUAACUACGUG
rnacentral:rRNA from 1 species